AUUGAACGCUGGCGGCAUGCUUUACACAUGCAAGUCGAACGGCAGCGCGGGCUUCGGCCUGGCGGCGAGUGGCGAACGGGUGAGUAAUGCAUCGGAACGUGCCCAGUAGUGGGGGAUAGCCCGGCGAAAGCCGGAUUAAUACCGUAUACGACCUGAGGGUGAAAGCGGGGGACCGAAAAGCCUCGCGCUAUUGGAGCGGCCGAUGUCGGAUUAGCUAGUUGGUGGGGUAAAGGCUUACCAAGGCGACGAUCCGUAGCUGGUCUGAGAGGACGACCAGCCACACUGGGACUGAGACACGGCCCAGACUCCUACGGGAGGCAGCAGUGGGGAAUUUUGGACAAUGGGGGCAACCCUGACCCAGCCAGGCCGCGUGCGGGAAGAAGGCCUGCGGGUUGUAAACCGCUUUUGUUCGGGAAGAAAUCCUCUGGGCUAAUACCCCGGGGGGAUGACGGUACCGGAAGAAUAAGCACCGGCUAACUACGUG
rnacentral:rRNA from 1 species